AUUGAACGCUGGCGGCAGGCCUAACACAUGCAAGUCGAGCGGAUGAAGGGAGCUUGCUCCUGGAUUCAGCGGCGGACGGGUGAGUAAUGCCUAGGAAUCUGCCUGGUAGUGGGGGAUAACGUCCGGAAACGGGCGCUAAUACCGCAUACGUCCUGAGGGAGAAAGUGGGGGAUCUUCGGACCUCACGCUAUCAGAUGAGCCUAGGUCGGAUUAGCUAGUUGGUGGGGUAAAGGCCUACCAAGGCGACGAUCCGUAACUGGUCUGAGAGGAUGAUCAGUCACACUGGAACUGAGACACGGUCCAGACUCCUACGGGAGGCAGCAGUGGGGAAUAUUGGACAUUGGGCGAAAGCCUGAUCCAGCCAUGCCGCGUGUGUGAAGAAGGUCUUCGGAUUGUAAAGCACUUUAAGUUAGGAGGAAGGGCAGUAAGUUAAUACCUUGCUGUUUUGACGUUACCAACAGAAUAAGCACCGGCUAACUUCGUG
rnacentral:rRNA from 1 species